rnacentral:rRNA from 1 species
AACGAACGCUGGCGGCAUGCCUAACACAUGCAAGUCGAACGAGACCUUCGGGUCUAGUGGCGCACGGGUGCGUAACGCGUGGGAACCUGCCCUCAGGUUCGGAAUAACUCCCCGAAAGGGGUGCUAAUACCGGAUAAUGUCUUCGGACCAAAGAUUUAUCGCCUUUGGAUGGGCCCGCGUUGGAUUAGCUAGUUGGUAGGGUAAAAGCCUACCAAGGCGACGAUCCAUAGCUGGUCUGAGAGGAUGAUCAGCCACACUGGGACUGAGACACGGCCCAGACUCCUACGGGAGGCAGCAGUGGGGAAUAUUGGACAAUGGGCGAAAGCCUGAUCCAGCAAUGCCGCGUGAGUGAUGAAGGCCUUAGGGUUGUAAAGCUCUUUUACCCGGGAUGAUAAUGACAGUACCGGGAGAAUAAGCUCCGGCUAACUCCGU